AGUGAACGCUGGCGGUAGGCCUAACACAUGCAAGUCGAACGGCAGCACAGUAAGAGCUUGCUCUUACGGGUGGCGAGUGGCGGACGGGUGAGGAAUACAUCGGAAUCUCCUUUUUCGUGGGGGAUCACGUAGGGAAACUUACGCUAAUACCGCAUACGACCUACGGGUGAAAGCAGGGGAUCUUUGGACCUUGCGCGAUUGAAUGAGCCGAUGUCGGAUUAGCUAGUUGGCGGGGUAAAGGCCCACCAAGGCGACGAUCCGUAGCUGGUCUGAGAGGAUGAUCAGCCACACUGGAACUGAGACACGGUCCAGACUCCUACGGGAGGCAGCAGUGGGGAAUAUUGGACAAUGGGCGCAAGCCUGAUCCAGCCAUACCGCGUGGGUGAAGAAGGCCUUCGGGUUGUAAAGCCCUUUUGUUGGGAAAGAAAAGCAGCAGGUUAAUACCCCGCUGUUCUGACGGUACCCAAAGAAUAAGCACCGGCUAACUUCGUG
rnacentral:rRNA from 1 species